rnacentral:rRNA from 1 species
AACGCGAAGAACCUUACCUGGGCUCGAAAUGCAGGAGACCGGGGUAGAAAUAUCCUUUCCCCGCAAGGGGCUGCUGUAUAGGUGCUGCAUGGCUGUCGUCAGCUCGUGUCGUGAGAUGUUGGGUUAAGUCCCGCAACGAGCGCAACCCUCAUCCCUAGUUGCCAUCAGGUCAAGCUGGGCACUCUAGUGAAACCGCCCCGGAUAACGGGGAGGAAGGUGGGGAUGACGUCAAGUCCUCAUGGCCUUUAUGUCCAGGGCUACACACGUGCUACAAUGGUCGGUACAAACCGUCGCAAAACUGCAAAGUGGAGCUAAUCGGAAAAAGCCGGCCUCAGUUCGGAUUGGAGUCUGCAACUCGACUCCAUGAAGCUGGAAUCGCUAGUAAUCGCAGAUCAGAACGCUGCGGUGAAUACGUUCCCGGGCCUUGUACACACCGUGUCGA